rnacentral:misc_RNA from 1 species
GAUGAAGAACGUAGCGAAAUGCGAUAAGUAAUGUGAAUUGCAGAAUUCAGUGAAUCAUCGAGUCUUUGAACGCACAUUGCGCCCCCUGGUAUUCCGGGGGGCAUGCCUGUCCGAGCGUCAUUGCUGCCCUCAAGCACGGCUUGUGUGUUGGGCCGUCGUCCCCCUCCUAGGGGACGGGCCCGAAAGGCAGCGGCGGCACCGCGUCCGGUCCUCGAGCGUAUGGGGCUUCGUCACCCGCUCCGUAGGCCCGGCCGGCGCUUGCCGACGACUAUCAAUCUCUUUCUCCAGGUUGACCUCGGAUCAGGUAGGGAUACCCGCUGAACUUAAGCAUAUCAAUAAGCGGAGGA